rnacentral:ncRNA from 4 species
AGGUAGCCAAAUGCCUCGUCAUC